rnacentral:rRNA from 1 species
UACAGAGGUCUCAAGCGUUGUUCGGAUUCAUUGGGCGUAAAGGGUGCGUAGGCGGCGCGGUAAGUCGGGUGUGAAAUCUCGGAGCUUAACUCCGAAACUGCAUUCGAUACUGCCGUGCUUGAGGACUGGAGAGGAGACGUGGAAUUUACGGUGUAGCGGUGAAAUGCGUAGAUAUCGUAAGGAAGACCAGUGGCGAAGGCGGGUCUCUGG